GUAGAUCUAUUAUUUGUGGAUCUGAGAAUUUUUUUGAUGGGGUUGGCCUGACGAGAAAUUUGUUUUGUGGACCGAAACUUGUGGAUCUGAGGUGAGAUUUCGCCCUGACGUGAAGAAUCUCAAGACCGCCUUCUCUUCCUUGGCAAGGUUUCUGAUUUUUGGAGGAAAUUUGAAAGUCAGACAGCAUUGCACAGCGGGUAAAAUUCAAGAUGCCAAAUCUGUAAAUCCUCUGCUGGUAAGGUUCCAGAGGGGUCUGAAGCUCAAGCCCAUGGCUUUGAUCAAGAAGUUGCGCAAGCUUUGUUGAGUUUCCUAUUUCAUAGAACCUGUUGAGACAAUUUGAAAGACUGCAGAUCCGGAAUCACCAUGAAGGACAAUAGAGGAAAUGGACGAACCAAAAAAAAAAAUCUAAAAUAUUUGAAUAAUUCAUUAAAAUUCAAUAAAUAUAUAAAUAUAGACUGCUGAAAUUUAAGUGGGGACCGCACGAAUCUCAUACACAGACAACCUUUUCUGUGUGAAAGAGCAUUAGCAACGCUCGCAACACAUACAAAUUUUUAAUCCGUGAGUGUACUAUGUGAAAAGACGAAUACACACGGAAAUCC